rnacentral:tRNA from 1 species
CAUUAGAUGGCUGAAAAUUUAAGUGUUGGUCUCUUAAACCAAAUUAUAGUACUAUUACUUCUAAUGA